GAUGAACGCUGGCGGUGUGCCUAAUACAUGCAAGUCGAGCGAACAGACGAGGAGCUUACUCCUCUGACGUUAGCGGCGGACGGGUGAGUAACACGUGGAUAACCUACCUAUAAGACUGGGAUAACUUCGGGAAACCGGAGCUAAUACCGGAUAACAUGUUGAACCGCAUGGUUCAACAGUGAAAGACGGUCUUGCUGUCACUUAUAGAUGGAUCCGCGUCGCAUUAGCUAGUUGGUAAGGUAACGGCUUACCAAGGCAACGAUGCGUAGCCGACCUGAGAGGGUGAUCGGCCACACUGGAACUGAGACACGGUCCAGACUCCUACGGGAGGCAGCAGUAGGGAAUCUUCCGCAAUGUGCGAAAGCCUGACGGAGCAACGCCGCGUGAGUGAAGAAGGUCUUCGGAUCGUAAAACUCUGUUAUUAGGGAAGAACAAAUGUGUAAGUAACUAUGCACGUCUUGACGGUACCUAAUCAGAAAGCCACGGCUAACUACGUG
rnacentral:rRNA from 1 species